CCUGUCUACAUCUGCAUGAUUGGAAUGCCUAUGCCCCAAAUUUGCAUGGGUUUUGUGGGGCAAAUCCAGAAGGAUGGCAACAGGAAGUCAAAUUACUUCUCGAUGAUCCCAAACCUGUGUGGAAGAUUUUGCAUCCUCCAGCCAUGAAUGGAUCCAGACUAGGCAGACAUCAGUGACACUUCCUGACGAACUGGGAGCUGCAGAUCCCUGCUACAGGCGCUGCCACCCUGGGGGAACUUCAGCGUGUUCUGGGACUUUCAGGAAACCCUUCAGUGUCUCCGAGGGCUCAGCCAGCUCCAGACAUGUUUUGG
rnacentral:lncRNA from 1 species